AAACACCAACCAUUCCUACCACCAAGCCCACCACAGAAACCACUACCAGUUCUUCUGAACCUACCACCUCAACAGCAACCAUCACUUCCACGGAACCCACCACCACUUCAACUGAACCUACAAAGACAAUAGCAGCCAAAUUUCCCACAGAGCACACCACAACAGCAAUUACCACCACUUCAACUGAACCUAACAACUCAAUAGGAAAAACCGUAACUUCUACAGAAUCCACCACCACAGAAUCUACUACCAUUUCCACGGAAUCUACCACAGCAACUAUCAUUACUUCCACAGAACCUACCACAACAGCAACGAUUACUUCCACAGAGUCCACCAACUCAGGAACCAUGACCAUUUCAACUGAACCUUCUGCCAAAACUGUAACCAUCAUUUCCACAGUGCCAACCACCAUAGCAACUACCACCACUUCAACUGAAACUACCACAACAGGAAACAUUAUAACUUCCAAGGAACCUGCCACCACAGCAGUAAUCAUCACUUCUUCAGAGCACACCACCAUAGCAAACACCGCCACUUCUUCAGAACUGACCAACACAGCAGCCACCAUAACUUCAACUGAACCUAUCCCAACACCAGCAACCAUCACUUACAUAGAGCCCACCAUCACAGCAACCAACACCACUUCCACUGAACCUCCCACUACAACAGCAACCAUCACCAUGUCCACUGAACAUUAUACAACUUCCACAGAAUAUGCCACAGCCAUUACUGUUUCCACAGAACCCACUACAAUAGCAACCACCACCACUUUCAUAGAGCCCACAACCACAGUAACCACCACUACUUCCACAGAAUCACCCACCACAGCAACCAUCAUCACAUCUACAGAACCUACCACAUUUUCAACAACCAUAACUUCCACAGGAGCCACAACCAAAGCAACAAUCAACACCUCUGCAGAAUCGACCACCACAGCAACCACUACAGCUUCCAUGGAACCUAAAACCAAAGCAACAAUAAACACCUCUGUAGAACCCACCUCCAUAACAACAAUCAUCACUUCUACAGAGCCCACCACUACAGCAGUACCCACUACUUCCUUGGAAUCCCCCAACACAAUGACUAUCAUGACAAUUAUAAAACCCACCACAAGAGCAAUCAUCACAGCUUCCACUGAAACCCUCACCACAGCAAACACCCCAAGUUCCAUAGAAUCAACCACCAGAACACCAACCAUUACCACUUCCACAGAAUCUACCACAGCAACUACUAUUACUUCUACAGAGCCCACCACUACAGCAAUCACCAAUAUUUCUGCAGAAUCCCACACCACAGCAACAAUCAUUACUACUACAAAACCCACCACCCAAGCAAUCACCAUCACUUCGACUGAACCUACCACUACAACAGGAACUACCACAACUUCCAAAGACAUUAUUACUCAUGCAACAACCAUCACUUCUAUGGAAUCUAC
ensembl:lncRNA